UUUUUAUCUAAGCUCAAUAUCAGAUACAAUAAAAAAAAAUUACAGCCCUCCAAAGUACUCAAUGCUCUCAUGCCUCCACUCAAUAGGGAAAAAAAAAUCUUCAAUAAUAAUAAUAACUAGGCAACUAGCGAAUUUAGUACUGGGAAGGAAAGGCUUACUGGGAAGGAAAGGCUAAAUAACUGGUUCUUGAAUUUUUCUACUUUGCAGUGCCGUUGGGCAGCUUUGCAGGUUUUCCCUCAGAAGAGUU
rnacentral:misc_RNA from 1 species